GACGAACGCUGGCGGCGUGCUUAACACAUGCAAGUCGAACGGAAAGGCCCUGCUUUUGUGGGGUGCUCGAGUGGCGAACGGGUGAGUAACACGUGAGUAACCUGCCCUUGACUUUGGGAUAACUUCAGGAAACUGGGGCUAAUACCGGAUAGGAGCUCCUGCUGCAUGGUGGGGGUUGGAAAGUUUCGGCGGUUGGGGAUGGACUCGCGGCUUAUCAGCUUGUUGGUGGGGUAGUGGCUUACCAAGGCUUUGACGGGUAGCCGGCCUGAGAGGGUGACCGGCCACAUUGGGACUGAGGUACGGCCCAGACGCCUACGGGAGGCAGCAGUGGGGAAUAUUGCACAAUGGGCGGAAGCCGGAUGCAGCAACGCCGCGUGCGGGAUGACGGCCUUCGGGUUGUAAACCGCUUUCGCCUGUGACGAAGCGUGAGUGACGGUAAUGGGUAAAGAAGCACCGGCUAAUUACGU
rnacentral:rRNA from 1 species